rnacentral:rRNA from 1 species
GACGUAGGGCGCAAGCGUUGUCCGGAAUUAUUGGGCGUAAAGGGCUCGUAGGCGGUUUGUCGCGUCGGGAGUGAAAACACGGGGCUUAACCCCGUGCCUGCUUCCGAUACGGGCAGACUAGAGGUAUGCAGGGGAGAACGGAAUUCCUGGUGUAGCGGUGAAAUGCGCAGAUAUCAGGAGGAACACCGAUUGCGAAGGCAGCUCGCUGGGACGUAACUGACGCUGAGACGCGAAAGCGUGGGGGAGCAAACAGG